CUUAUAUUAAAACAAAACAAUUUUGGCCACUUGGCAUUUGCUUAAACCUCUUUUUGCCACCUGUCAACUUAAUAUUCCACACAAUUCUUCUUUGGGCGGCAAUAUACAUCGAUCACUUCCCAUGUUUCUCUUUGAUUGUACCGCCUUUGGCUUUUAUUGGCUUUUAUUGUACAGCCGUUUCAAAACCAAUGCUCCAUCCUCCAAUCCAUCACCAUCUUCAAUUGAAUACUAGCAAUCAAAAUCGAUGAAGGAGGAUUGGUAUCAAGAACCCUAGAUCUAUUAAUAAUUAUGGUUGUUUUUGAAGCCCUAGAUAUCGCAUACAUCUUACUUCUGGUUGAAGCCUCUUAAAUCUAAACAUUCAAGCAUCAGGUACAAUCAUCUCAUAAGAAAAUACGUUGCAAUUUGAAGGUCUAUUGUAACCUUAAACAUCUCAUACGAAGAUUUCUCAGUUGCUUCUACUGUUAGGAUGUUUGGAUUGUUGUUUUGGUACUGAUUGUAUCUAUUAAUAUGUUAAUUAAUCGAAUCAAUGUUUUUGUUGCAGUUGGUGGCGGAAAAUCUUGCGUGCUAUGAACAUUGAUUAGUAUAUGAUGCAUGUGUUAGGGUUUUACGGUGUUUUUCAUUCAUUUUCUUUGUGUGUUUAACUAUUUAUGUGAAUCGUUGAUUGGCUAGGGACAUAUGUAGGCUGAGUAAUUGGUUUUUGACCUAAUUGUUUUUUUUAUGCAUUUAUAGAGUGAUUUUUGUCAUUAAGAAUUUGAAUUACUGGAAUUUAAUAAUGGCUGACUUUGAAUUCAGUAGUUUUUCAUUAGAUGUGAAUGUAAUACAGUAACAUGAAACCAUGAUUGGAGGUUGGCUGAGUGAAUUGUUGGUACUCCAUUCUGAGCCGCAACCGACAACCACUCAUCUUGGCAUGGUGCUGAUGCACAAGCUCAUUUUUGAGUCAUUCCAUUGUUUAUGUGAUUAUACUCUAUUUAAAUAUGUUUUAACUAUUGGUAUUAGAAUGAAUGAGAGGUAAAAUUACUAAAAAGUAUGCUGAUUAAGGAGAUUCAGUUUUUGUAGAAUUUUGUAAUUGCUUAGAAACAUAAGUUUAUUACUUUAACUGUUUUAGUUUGUUUCUUUGACACUAAUCUUUUUGCAGUUGUUUUCCUUAAUUUAGUAUGAUAAUGCAAACAUACUUAAUUAUACCUUCUAAUAAAGGCUAGAAUGUUGAAGCUUUAAUAGACUGGUCUGAGCAAAGAGCACAUGAAGAAAGUGAAAGAUUGAGGCGGGUAGUCGGUUGCGGUUUAGAAUUAAAUUGAUGGUCUGAGCAAAGCUUGGUUUGUAUUUCAGUUUUUUGUUUUUAGUUUUUAAAAUUAAAGUGAUGAACUUAUUGAUUCUGUUUUUUAAUACUUAACUAAAUACUAGCGUAGCAACUUGGUGGGUCGAUGCGGGUUGGGUUGAAAUGGACCUGGCUUUGUUGACCCACAACCAUGAAUGUGAGUUAUUUUUCUUAAUACAGUUAAUGUGUUAUUUAUUAUUACAAACACAUUAUUUGUACAAUCAUGAUCCUAAAUAAAUGAUUUACGAGGCUAUGAUGCUAUAGAUCUGAAAUAGUGAACUUAUCCUUUUCUGUUUUGCUCUGAUACUACAGAUCUAAAACAGUGAUGUUAUCCUUUUUUUUGUUUUUUGCUUAGACCAAACACAAGAGGUUGGUUAUUAGGUCGAAACAGGUCAUUUUUGUGCAAGUCAAAUUAGACUGGUGAGGUUGGUUGGGUUGACCCUUUCAACCCACAACCACAUUUGAAUUAUUUCUUAUAAGCAAUUAAUUAAAUUAAUUAUGAUUUGUCUAUUAUGGUUUUUCAGUAAUUGUUUAUUCCUAUAGAUGCUUUGUGUUGCUACUAAGCCAGAGAAGAAGAAACUUGAACUCCUGUUCCUUCGUUGGAGCGAGCAUCACAAAAAACCUGCAGUUUUUGAAGUUUGGUACUCGUGCAAGAAUGCUUCAAUCACAUCCACCUCCUAAAGCGGUAAAAUUUAACCUAUCUAAAAAGUUCCAUUGGUUGGGGAGUAGUUAGCUGCAUAUGAAGAAGAUCGAGAAAAGAUUACAAAACAAGGCUUUAAAAGCCAAUCUUGUGAAAUAAGAGGAGUCGAAAGCUGUAGAUGAUGCUGAUGUUAGCAAUACUGACCCAAUGCUGAUUGAUGGCUAUACAAAAGUGGAUGGUGUGCAAAAAUGAUUCUUUCCAUUUACGAGGAAACGUAUAUGUGGUGUAAGUCAUUGGAUUCAGCUGUGAUGGCUUACAAUUCAAUACAUGGUUGUAAUUUUGCUAGCACACAGGUAUGAUGUGCUUUUGAAUCUGUAAGUUGAUUUUGCUCUUAAAAAAAGAACCACUCUUAUCUAUAUACUCUCAAAAGUGAUUUCCAUA